rnacentral:rRNA from 1 species
GGGGAAUAUUGCGCAAUGGGGGGAACCCUGACGCAGCCAUGCCGCGUGAAUGAAGAAGGCCUUAGGGUUGUAAAGUUCUUUCGGUAUUGAGGAAGGUUGAUGUGUUAAUAGCACAUCAAAUUGACGUUAAAUACAGAAGAAGCACCGGCUAACUCCGUGCCAGCAGCCGCGGUAAUACGGAGGGUGCGAGCGUUAAUCGGAAUAACUGGGCGUAAAGGGCACGCAGGCGGUUAUUUAAGUGAGGUGUGAAAGCCCCGGGCUUAACCUGGGAAUUGCAUUUCAGACUGGGUAACUAGAGUACUUUAGGGAGGGGUAGAAUUCCACGUGUAGCGGUGAAAUGCGUAGAGAUGUGGAGGAAUACCGAAGGCGAAGGCAGCCCCUUGGGAAUGUACUGACGCUCAUGUGCGAAAGCGUGGGGAGCAAACAGGAUUAGAUACCCUGGUAGUCCACGCUGUAAACGCUGUCGAUUUGGGGGUUGGGGUUUAACUCUGACGCCCGUAGCUAACGUGAUAAAUCGACCGCCUGGGGAGUACGGCCGCAAGGUUA